CCUACGGGUGGCAGCAGUGAGGAAUAUUGGUCAAUGGGCGCGAGCCUGAACCAGCCAAGUAGCGUGAAGGAAGACUGCCCUGCGUGUUGUAAACUUCUUUUAUAAGGGAAUAAAGUGAGGCACGAGUGCCUUGUUGUGGGUACUUUAUGAAUAAGGAUCGGCUAACUCCGUGCCAGCAGCCGCGGUAAUACGGAGGAUCCGAGCGUUAUCCGGAUUUAUUGGGUUUAAAGGGAGCGUAGACGGGUUGUUAAGUCAGUUGUGAAAGUCUGCGGCUCAACCGUAAAAUUGCAAUUGAUACUGGCAGUCUUGAGUACAGGUGAGGUAGGCGGAAUGCGUGGUGUAGCGGUGAAAUGCUUAGAUAUCACGAAGAACCCCGAUUGCGAAGGCAGCUUACUAAACUGCCACUGACAUUGAUGCUCGAAAGUGUGGGUAUCAAACAGGAUUAGAUACCCUAGUAGUC
rnacentral:rRNA from 1 species